UUAGAAACGUGCGCCGCUAGGCGCACAACGCAGAAACGCUCCUGCAAGGACGCAGGAGCGAGGAGAACCGCGCCAUGGACGGCGCGUUUCGACGGUUUCGUCAAGCAUAGAAACCCUAAAAAGCAUAAUUCAUACAGUAUCUU
rfam:[Eubacterium rectale] ATCC 33656 chromosome, complete genome.